AUUGAACGCUGGCGGCAUGCCUUACACAUGCAAGUCGAACGGCAGCACGGGUGCUUGCCCCUGGUGGCGAGUGGCGAACGGGUGAGUAAUACAUCGGAACAUGUCCUGUAGUGGGGGAUAGCCCGGCGAAAGCCGGAUUAAUACCGCAUACGAUCUACGGAUGAAAGCGGGGGACCUUCGGGCCUCGCGCUAUAGGGUUGGCCGAUGGCUGAUUGGCUAGUUGGUGGGGUAAAGGCCUACCAAGGCGACGAUCAGUAGCUGGUCUGAGAGGACGACCAGCCACACUGGGACUGAGACACGGCCCAGACUCCUACGGGAGGCAGCAGUGGGGAAUUUUGGACAAUGGGCGAAAGCCUGAUCCAGCAAUGCCGCGUGUGUGAAGAAGGCCUUCGGGUUGUAAAGCACUUUUGUCCGGAAAGAAAUCCUUGGCCCUAAUACGGUCGGGGGAUGACGGUACCGGAAGAAUAGGCACCGGCUAACUACGUG
rnacentral:rRNA from 1 species